rnacentral:rRNA from 1 species
GUGGGGAAUAUUGGACAAUGGGCGAAAGCCUGAUCCGGCCAUGCCGCGUGUGUGAAGAAGGCCUUUUGGUUGUAAAGCACUUUAAGCGAGGAGGAGGCUACCGAGAUUAAUACUCUUGGAUAGUGGACGUUACUCGCAGAAUAAGCACCGGCUAACUCUGUGCCAGCAGCCGCGGUAAUACAGAGGGUGCGAGCGUUAAUCGGAUUUACUGGGCGUAAAGCGUGCGUAGGCGGCUUUUUAAGUCGGAUGUGAAAUCCCUGAGCUUAACUUAGGAAUUGCAUUCGAUACUGGGAAGCUAGAGUAUGGGAGAGGAUGGUAGAAUUCCAGGUGUAGCGGUGAAAUGCGUAGAGAUCUGGAGGAAUACCGAUGGCGAAGGCAGCCAUCUGGCCUAAUACUGACGCUGAGGUACGAAAGCAUGGGGAGCAAACAGGAUUAGAUACCCCUGUAGUCC